rnacentral:lncRNA from 1 species
AAAAUAAAAACUAACUAAAAACACAUAACGAAUAAUCAAAUAAAUUAAAUUAAUUACAAGUCUUUCCCCGGCAACGGCGCCAAAAACUUCAUGUGCACAAAAGUACCCACUAAUUUUAAUAUUUAUAACCUAUCAAACUUAGACUAACUAUGCACUUAUAGGCAGUGUACCUAGUCAGAUUACAGUAUAGCUUAGGUAAGUCGGGUGUCAAUCACAGGGAACGGUGGUGAAUUAAUUUAAAAUAUUCGAUUAUAGGUUACAGGACACACGAAAUGAAUAAAGAAAUGGUUAUUAAAUCUCAAACGAACAAUUAAUUAACUACACUCGAUAAACUAACAGGAAAACAAAUCUCUUCAGGUACUUUAGUUUAGAUAAAUUACACCUUAAAAGGAUAGACAAUUGCAUAUAUAAAUUCAUUUAUUCAUGUUCACCGAUUCCUAAAAUGAUUAGAUUCGCGUUCACUAUAACUAAUCCUUUAGCAAACAAGUCAAUUCAAACAGUGAUCAGUUGAUUAAACUAACAUGUUUCCUAGUGUUCAGUUCGUAUCAAGCAAGACUUGUACUAAUAGUUAAUUGAAUUGGUCGUUCGAUUAACCUCUUGAUGAUGGUCAUCAAACAAGGCUCACACAUUAACUUACUUAUUUCCAAGUUAACCCUAGUUUCGCAUUCGCUAUUUCUAGACUUAUAAUCUUGAUGGUCAUCAAAGUUAUAAGUUACAAGCAAUCAAGCAGAUGUUCAUACAACUUAGUUUACUUGAAAAUUAACAGAAAAUAAUUAUCAUUAACGCAUAAGGAUCUUUUAACAAGUUUGACAAGAUAAAUUAAACAUAAACAAACAAUUCAAUAUAGCAAUUAGUCCAAUAAUCAAGGUUUCAUUCAAUCAUAAACACAAAGUAAAAGGUUUUUUACACCUAAAUCAGAAACUAAACACAUAAUAGUAUCACGAUGGAAUGCUAAACAUGGUCACCUUAACAACCCAUAUGAUUACUGACAUGUAUCCGCUCUCCAAUCCUUCCGAUCUCCGCUCCCGUUAGCUUAACGGCCUUCCGGCCGCCUUCUAGACCCUCAAAACGGCUUAACCAAAGUUAAUUAUCGACUAAAUUAGGUUAGAAGUCGAAUCCCCCCCUUCUGGUUAGCUGAUAAUAGGUUUUUAUAACCCUUGUAACCGACUUACGUACGCUGGACGUAAGUCGGAUUACGCUGGGCGUACUGAGGAUUAAUGCGCUAUGAGGAAAUCCGGAUGCAAGCAGUUACGCUGGGGCGUAACCAUAUAUUACGUUGGGCGUAACUCGUAUUUGGCUAUUACGCUUAGCGUACAUGUCCAUUACGUUGGGCGUAAUUGGCUCCUCCAACAUUUUUCUUUCUUUUAGCUUCGAAGUCCUAAUUCCGCUCCAGUCUUUUCUUUUGUGCUCUAUCGUCAACGAAUAGCUGCAAAUCAUAAUUCAAAGCAUUAUAAGUACUUUUUAUUUCUAAAAGAGAAUAAUAGAGGCUAAAAUAUUAAGAUAUAAUGCAUAAAAAUAUAUAUAUAAAUACACAUAUCAAAAUACCCCACACUUAGCCUUUGUUUGCCCCCAAGCAAAUUUACUUUUAUUUUACCAAUAUCGCACUAAACAAUCCAUUUUAAACUCAGCCAUUAUGUAAAAACCGCAACGCAUGCAUUUGUGUCUAAAUUUUUUCCUAAAGAACCCCCCCCNCCCCAUACUCUAAAUACUCACAAUCCUCAUAAACAUUCGCCCACUCACCCCGAACCAUGCUCAUUUUAUGCAUCCCUCCGAAUCCAUCCUCAGAAAACCUCUUAACCUCAAGGUAUUUUUGGUUGAGCAACCCAAGCAUACAUAAUCUAGACAAUUACAAUUUAUGAUACCAUAUUGGAGCUCUUUUGGAAUUCUUCACUUCCUUGAUAAUUUGAUCUUUGAUUUCUUUGAAUUCACCACCUUGUUUGAUUUGAUUUCUGGUAUCUUCACCUUUUUGAAUUUCUUUGAAUUUUGAUCUUUUGAUCUUCACUUUGAUUGCUCCAAAAUUCUUACAACUUUUCUUGUAAUUCUCUCUCUUUUUUUACAUAUACCUCACUUUUUUCACUCAAAACCCUACAUGCUUAAGUAGGGGCUCAACUUCAACCUUUAUUGGUUAACGAUAAUUUUUCCUGGAUACAUUUCUGGUACACGAUGCUAAACAUAUUGCAUCCCUCAGGCUGAGCGAGGUUGUGUUUUUGUCCCAUGAUUUCACUAGAAUAAGGAGGCCACAAAUGCACUAUAACGUAUAUAAGCUCAACUAAACAUUUGAGUUCUCAUCGGAUCAUCUCAUACAAUAUUAGCAAAAUUAUCACUAGAUUUUUCUAAAUGAAACUAUUAUUUCAAGUUUUUAAAUUUUUAAAUUUUCUACAUCUAGCAAUUUUCAAACUAUUAUUCCAAUUUUUUUUAAUUUUAAUUUUAAUUUACUUUUAUCGACCCCCUACCCCACACUUAUUUCAUACAAUGUCCUCAUUCUAUGCAUAAAACUAAUUAAGCACAUAAAAAGGGAGAAAAAGGAACAGACUCCCCUGGGUAGUUGUGGUGAGAUCGAAUGGGGCUGCUACAAGUUGCUCUAAACAUUGCUGAAAGACUGAAAACUAGAACUGUUGCUUCUACAUUUGUCGAAAAAUACAAUCAAGAAUGCAGACUUCGAAAAUGUGAUGCAAAAGAUUGCAAACAAAUGCAAUGUAUAGUAACCAUGACGUGGGAAAGUGUCGACCACGUCGUGUCGUCAGGAAUGACAACCGCUUCUCGCGAUGAAAACUCCCCCACAACAUAGGAAAGUGUCAACCAUGUCGUGGCAGCUGGGAUGAUACUUCUACCUCGCGUCGAAAUAAAACUCUAUGGACUGGAAACAGCUCAUCCAUAACAUAAGAGUUAAAAAUAAAAUGUCAUUCUUCUAAACAAUCGCUCACGAAAUCAAUAUGUACCCCACACUUAUGACAAAUCGUGGGUCUUGACUAUAAUCUUCAAACUCUCACACGGCUCUCUCUAGCGACAGUUAGACCUAGCUGCUGAACUUACUGCCAGCUUUCUAAGGGCGAAAAUUCUGCAAAGAUCUAAACAACCAAAGAGCAUCAACAUGGAAAACAAAAGUAAAACAUCCUAGAUUAAACUUAAUUACAUACCAAACAAAAUACUAAGUAACACAAAAAUAAACUAAAAAUAACACAAAAAUAAAAAUAAAAAUAAAAAGGAUAACUAAAUCACUCGUCAUCCCCGUCAUCAUGCUGUUGUGUCCCAGAAGUACCGGCUCCAUCAGAUCGUGGCCGGAAUGGUGGUGGAAAAGGAACCGAGUACUGAAACCCCUGGUGGGCAAAGAAUGCGAUCAACGCAUCCCCAUACCACUAUUGUUGUCUCUCCACGUGUGCAACGCGCUCACCCAGUCGUUGAACUCCCUCGUCAAUGCGGAAAAAUCCCUCGUCCAUGCACUGAUCCAGAUAACGUAUAUCAAUCUCCGGCUCAGGUCCCUGCUGUGCUCCCCGAGGAGCAGGUCUACGUCGCUGGGCUCGUCGCGGCUGUGGCUCGACUGCCCCCUCCUCGUCCGCCACGUCAUCUGGGCGUACCCGCAAGAGACCAUCCUCGCCCCGCUCCAGUACACGCAUCGACUCUAAUAACUAAAGGCUCAUCAGCCUCAUAUCAUGCAACACCAUCGAUCUCGUAAUCUCACGCGUCAACAACUGAUAUGAUCGAGCUAAUCGCGUGAUAAAAUGCCCCCCGCAAAUCGGGAUAUCCUCCCGAAGUCCCCUGGCCCUCCUACCCAAAUACGCGGCUAAAGCAACUGGAAGGUUCAGGUGCCUCCCUGGAGUAACAAGUGCCCAUAAAAAAUAUAAGUCUGUCGAAGGCACUCUCUCACUGUUCUUAUGGUGCGUGAGAGACAUGGAAAUCAAACGUUGCAGCAGUCUAUAUGUGGUAGACCGAAUCAUCCUCCCUCGUCCAGUAGAUGGCGUGUAUACUCCCCCAGUAAUCUCGGCCCAAAAACUGUUUUCAUUAUAGUCAUCUGGCCGGCUCGUGAGACAAUCAGCAAGGAAUGCCGGGAAGUGGACACUCCUCGUCUCGUCUACUGUGUAUAUACCAACUCGAGUGGCAAGCUCUAUGACACUGCACUACCGGCUCACACCACCCAGUCUGAAGGAAAAGGUUGUCCUAUCAUUGGGUGUCUUCCUAGGGUCAUAGGAAACUAUAGCAUAAAACUCCAGCAAAAAUUCCCGAUAUACAGGCUCCUGGAUCCUGAACAGUCUUGCCUAUCCCUGACAUACGAACAAAUGCACUCCACUCGCGUCCGAGUGCGUGUAUUGCAAAAAAUCCUGGAUCAGCGCAGCAAGUCCAGUCUGGGUCGCCAAUUCCCAGCCGAAUGAUGGUGCUAUGUCGAUCUCCUUAGUAAGCAGCAGACUCAGAUUGUUGACAUAUCUGGCUCGGGUUGCAUCAUUUAGAGUUUGCGGAAAUUGUAAGAAACGGUGAUCGGUCACGUCCUCGGGUGGGUUGGUCCUUUGAGUUCUUCGGGCCAUAAUCUGCACAAAUAAACACCAAACAAAAUAAUCACAACAUUAAAAAAUUUAGACUAAAAACAAUGGUCCUUGGGCAUGACUGUAUGUUGGGCGUACAUCCAGCAUACGUUGGGCGUACGUCCAGAUUCACGAAGUUGUCCCCCUGCUGAUCUAAGAUCAUACAAUACACAUGUAUAUAUGUAGGAGUAUUCUACAAGACAUUCAAAAAAAUGGGGUAUUUUCCAAGACAUAUGUCGAAGAAUGCGUAACAGCCCCUGUUUGUUCUAAAGUCAUAACCCAUAUCAAAGUUAGGCCUGGAAAUCAUGUCGUGUUCGAGUUGGCGUGUCGCGGGUUGACGGGUUGGCUGGUCAAAAUAUGCCAACCCAAACACGACCCAUUUAAAUAUACAGGUCACGGGUUGGCGGGUUUGGAACAUAAACCCAUAUAUGACCCACCAACCCAUUUAUUUAUACGGGUUCACAAGUUGGCAGGUUCGUGGAUCAGAUUUGGGUUCGUGGGUCCAAAUUUUAGAUAUUUAUGUCUUAAACAUCUAAAUGAAAAUUAAAAACAUUCAUAGAAACAUGUUACAGACUUAACCUUAUAUGUUACGACUUAUGACCUUAGACCAUCCACCAAGAGUAAUAAUGUCAAAACAAUCAAAUGGUCUAUGAAUAAAUGGUAUAUAUUAUAUAAUACUUAUUAAAUAUUAAUACUUGAUACAUAAAUAUAUUUAAAAAUACAAUAAUUUUUUUUAUUAAGAAUAUAAACGGGUUGGCGGGUCAACCCGUUUAUUUUUUAAGAAACCCAUAUAUGACCCAUUUAAUAAACGGGUUGGCGGGUUGAAAAACUCAACCCAAACCUAUUUAUUUCGUAUCGUGUCGCGUGUCGUGUCGAGAAUUGUCAGCCCUAANNNNNNNNNCACAGGCUAUUCAUCUAGAACGCUAUGUAUUCGCUCAAAUCCUCGAAUCGAAUGUUCAUACACAAGUUUAAAGGCCAAAUCGAGUUCAAGGGUUUAGUCUAUUGGUCCGAAUCGAUGUAUUAAAACAUAAUCAAACAACAGAUUCAUGAAAUCGACCCCAAUUGACGAAGGGUAUAAACCCUAGAAUUCUAUUUAGGCUAAAUGAAGCUAAUUCCACUAAUUGAAACACAAAUUAACGUGAUAUGGCUUCCGAAUGACAUACCUUAGUGUCGAUUUCUACAAGAAAAGAAGAAUCGAUGAUCUUGUGGGAGAACUUGUCAUCACAGCGUAUGUGUGUGCGAAGGAAGAGAAAUUGAAAGAAUAACAAAAAAGUCAAAGGGUAAAAUGAUAAGACCUGUCGUCGAUUUACGCUGAGCGUAAAUUCAAAUGUACGCGGGGCGUACCUCUAAUGCCGAGAAAAAGUCAUACGCGAUCAAAGGUUCAUUACGCUUGGCGAAAUGUGAAUUACGUUGGGCGUAAUUUUAACUGAAAUAUUUCCUUUUCCUUAUUUGAAAUUCCUUUUUCCAACUAAUAAAUUUGGGAACUUCUAAAUAUAAUUAUUUUUUUUUCUCUUUUAAUUGCUUCAACAACAGCCAUGACUUUCCGACGGGUGACAUAUUUAAAAAAAAAAAUGUGACAUCAUGAUCACUUGUUUUUGUCGAGAUCAAACAACAAUGGUUGAUUAAAACCCUUGCACACAAGAAUUGGUUUGCGAAAACAACCACUUUCGGAACCCGUUAGAAUAUUUCUUUUGUUUUCUUCGUACCUUUAACUAAAAGUAGAACAAGAAGUGACCUUACUAAUCAAGAACAGAAAGAGCUCGGUCUUCCACUUAAGCACCACAAUACACCUUGCUAUACUACGCCUCAUGGAUUGAUUCGGUCAAAUCAACAAAGUAGUAGGCUAAGCAGGUCAAGAAUUCCCUAAUCACUUGCAUUCUCGAAACCCAUGCAAAAAAAAUAAAGUCAAGCAAUGUGUACAAUCCCAAAUUCCUGCAAUUAACAACAAGAACCUUCCCGACAAGUGAAAUAAUAUCAACGAAAAUCAAACUAAAAAUAAAAACUAACUAAAAACAAAUAACGAAUAAUCAAAUAAAUUAAAUUAAUUACAAGUCGUUCCCCGGCAACGGAUCCAAACACUUGAUGUGCACGAAAGUACCCACUAAUUUUAAUAUUUAUAACCUAACAAACUUAGACUAACUAUGCACUUAUAGGCAGUGUACCUAGUCAGAUUACAAUAUAGCUUAGGUAAGUCGGGUGUCGAUCACAGGGAACGGUGUUGACUUAAUUUAAAAUUCGAUUAUAGGUUACAGGACACAUGAAAUGAAUAAAGAAAUGGUUAUUGAAUCUCAAAAGAACAAUUAAUUAACAACUCUCGAUAAACUAACAGGAAAACAAAUCUCUUCAGGUACUUUUGUUUAGAUAAAUUACACCUUAAAAGCAUAGACAAUUGCAUAUAUAAAUUCAUUUAUUCAUGUUUACCGAUUCCUAAAAUGAUUAGAUUCGCGUUCACUAUAACUAAUCCUUUAGCAAACAAGUCAAUUCAAACAGUGAUCAGUUGAUUAAACUAACACGUUUCCUAGUGUUCAGUUCGUAUCAAGCAAGACUUGUACUAAUAGUUAAUCGAAUUGGUCGUUCAAAUAACCUCUUGUUGAUGGUCAUCAAACAAGGCUCACACAUUAACUUACUUAUUUCCAAGUUAACCCUAGUUUCGCAUUCGCUAUUUCUAGACUUAUAAUCUUGAUGGUCAUCAAAGUUAUAAGUUACAAGCAAUCAAGUAGAUGUUCAUACAACUUAAUUUACUUGACAAUUAACAGCACAUAAUUAUCAUUAACGCAUAAGGAUCUUUUAACAAGCUUGACAAGAUAAAUUAAACAUAAACAAACAAUUCAAUAUAGCAAUUAGUCCAAUAAUCAAGGUUUCAUUCAAUCAUAAACACAAAGUAAAAGGUUUUUUUACACCUA